UACGAAGGGGGCUAGCGUUGUUCGGAAUCACUGGGCGUAAAGGGCGCGUAGGCGGCUUGAUAAGUCGGGGGGUGAAAGCCUGUGGCUCAACCACAGAAUUGCCUUCGAUACUGUCGAGCUUGAGACCGGAAGAGGUAAGUGGAACUGCGAGUGUAGAGGUGAAAUUCGUAGAUAUUCGCAAGAACACCAGUGGCGAAGGCGGCUUACUGGUCCGGUUCUGACGCUGAGGCGCGAAAGCAUGGGGAGCAAACAGG
rnacentral:rRNA from 1 species